UAAUAUUUCGUUUCUCUUGGAACUGCAUCACAAUGCAAAAAAACAAAUGGCCGUAGCUUCCAGUUCAUGCUAACUUUAAAGUGAGAGAGCAGCAUCUCCAGAGUUCAGCUGUGUGUCUAUGAAGAGCAACAACUCAAUGUAUCAGCCUCCUUAUAUGAGUGAUGGAUCUGCUGUGAGCUCUGAGUCUGGGUCAUCCUAUCCAGCUUUAUGGUUACCAACAAGAGGAAUGACUCAGAGAGCAGCAUCUCCAGAGUUUAGCUGUGUGUCUAUGAAGAGCAACAACUCAAUGCAACAGCCUCCUUUUAUGAGUGAUGGAUCUGCUGUGAGCUCUGAGUCUGGGUGAGUAUCAUGAGGAAUGAUUUUAGGUGUCUUUUUGUUGUGGCGGCAUAAAAAUAGUUUAGUCAUCUCAAGCCAACAAUACAGCAGUACAGAUCACUAUUUUAAUAUAUCAAUAUAUUCCCACGUCACAGUUCCAGUGAUGCUGGUAAAGUUGAUUCUAUUAGACCAUUUGGUGA
rnacentral:lncRNA from 1 species